UGAAGAACCUACUCCUGGAGGAGGCGGGCGAUGACAUAUCCGUGUUGUACACCUGGCCGGACCAGAUAUAUGAACGUGCUACUGCUGUAAAUGGCUAGGGUGAAAAGGUCACUGUCUCACCUUGGUACUCUCAUUCCCCAUGAAUUUGUCGCCCUCGGGUUGUACAUUGGGGUGAAGCCAUCAAGGGCCCAGCCCACAGAAAAGGUGCAUGCCGAGGAGAGGUAUCACCACUAUGAGGUUAGGGAGUUGUUGGAGGCCUGUAUUGACUGUCGCUGGCUCCGCUCCGCCAUGCUGAUUCCAGUGAUUGGAUUGCCUGCCAAACACUUCAUAUAAUUUCCCAACCAAGGAGCCUAAUGCAGAUCAUCUUGAGGAAUACAACAGGGACAAGAAAAAACUCAGCUACGUGUACUGCAUUUUAAGUCGACUGCAUGUGCAACACCAUUCGUGUUCCGGCAUGAGGUCAGCUUAUGUUAAGCUGCUACGAGUCACAUAGCUGCGUAUUUUAUGCAUAGAUCUUUUUCUGUGCCGCAAGGUAUUAACUGUUAUCUUGCAUAUACACGAUUCAUCAUACACAAUGCAGUUAUUGUCUUACCAAACUCAGGUUACUUUUUAGAAAAUAAUAUUUUUCUUCAGAACAUUAGUCCAAGUAGUUCUUUUACAAGUAUAGACAUCUUUUUAAUGGAGAUACUUUUAUUUCCUAAGCAAAUAUACAUAGUGUAUUCUCACUAGAGGUUGCCUUUGUUUUGCUUCAGCAAUGGUCAGCAAGGUGGUAACCGAGCCCAUAAAAGGUCAAUAAUUUUGUGUUGAGAAUAUAAUGUGUUUUGUGUAUGUUCAUCAGAACGGCUACGCACAUAAUGGAACUUUGCUUUCAAUCUUUUUUGGGGCCUCUGGUAAGAAUAUAUGUGAGAGUUAUUUUGGGUCACUGUUUGAAUAAAAUUCUAUUUCACUGCAGGCGAAUUGAGUUGCGGAUAAUGUUGAUGCGCCAUGCUUUGCAGAUUGAAAGAUGGGAGUUUGCUACAUGAUUAGAAACAAUAAUUAGAUUAUGAGAGUAAAAAUUAUCGUAUUUCAUGGAUCUAGGGUAUUCACUUGAGUAUGUAACCAUUUUUUAAAAUCUGCCCUACGGACUUUUUUACCAUUUUUAAAAUUUGUUGUACGGAUAUGGUUUUUAAAGGUAACUGGUUCUUUUUGCAAAUAUAUAGGAGUGUAAAUUAGCCUCG